rnacentral:rRNA from 1 species
GGGGAAUUUUGGACAAUGGGCGCAAGCCUGAUCCAGCCAUGCCGCGUGUCUGAAGAAGGCCUUCGGGUUGUAAAGGACUUUUGUCAGGGAAGAAAAGGCUGUUGCUAAUACCGACAGCUGAUGACGGUACCUGAAGAAUAAGCACCGGCUAACUACGUGCCAGCAGCCGCGGUAAUACGUAGGGUGCGAGCGUUAAUCGGAAUUACUGGGCGUAAAGCGAGCGCAGACGGUUACUUAAGCAGGAUGUGAAAUCCCCGGGCUCAACCUGGGGACUGCGUUCUGAACUGGGUGACUAGAGUGUGUCAGAGGGAGGUAGAAUUCCACGUGUAGCAGUGAAAUGCGUAGAGAUGUGGAGGAAUACCGAUGGCGAAGGCAGCCUCCUGGGAUAACACUGACGUUCAUGCUCGAAAGCGUGGGUAGCAAACAGGAUUAGAUACCCUGGUAGUCCACGCCCUAAACGAUGUCAAUUAGCUGUUGGGCAACUUGAUUGCUUAGUAGCGUAGCUAACGCGUGAAAUUGACCGCCUGGGGAGUACGGUCGCAAGAUUA